rnacentral:lncRNA from 1 species
UAACAGUUCUCGAGUUGCUUACAAGUACAUUAAAAUAACGACAUUUACUUAAGCAUAGAUAUGCACAAAUUACCUGGAAUUCGCGAACUUUAAAGGUCGGACUGAGAAUGGCACACUGCAAGGCACAUCCCCUCGACACACACUCACUUGCAUUCAUUGUACGCCUGGGCUCCUUACCAAAAAACUCAGUUAGAAUCUUGAUCAUAGCAGGGACACGAGAGCCAGAGCCGACAACCUCGACCAUAUGUACAUCUUCAACAGUGAGGCCCGCAUCAGAGAGAGCUUUCUCUAAAGGCCUCUUAACACGCUCCAAAAUCGGGAUGCUGAUCUCUUCAAACUCUUCCCUCUUGAUGACACCCCUAACAUCUUUCUCAGCCAUCAAACACUCGAUAUUCAAUGGUGCCAUAGGAUUAGCGCUUAGAACCUUUUUCAGUUUCUCGCAUGUAGCGCGGAGCCUGAGAGAAGCCUUAGCAUUCUGGGAGACGUCAAUCUUGUACUCGUCCUUGAACUUAGCAGCAAAAUGAUUGAAAAGAACUUCAUCAAAAUCCCUUCCCCCAAGGGAGCGAUCGAAAGCGUGAGACAAGAUUUUGAGCUGUCCUUUUUUGAAGCCUGCAAUACAGACUUGCAUGCUUGCGUGUCCAAUGUCAAUGAAUGCAACAUUGAGCUGGUCAUUCUCUGGCAGAUCUGUCUUAUAAAUUCCGUAUGCCAAAGCCGUAGCUGUAGUCUCAUGGAUCAAGUGCAAGGGAUGCAAGCCUGCAAUUGUGGCAGCAUCGAGAACAGCCCUACGCUGGAGGUCGGUAAAGUAAACAGGAAUACCAAUACAGCAGUCGACCACAGCUGUAUUCAAAUUCUUCUCAGCAAUACCUUUCAAGUUGGACAACAUCAUACCCAUGACCUGAGUCGGGGUAAAGGCUCUAAUCUCUCCCAAAUAAUUAGCAUGGAUCAAAGGAUAGCCAUCAGGGCCUUCAGUGACAGAAAAGGGAAGGGAUUUGAUAUCCCUUUGAAGCUCAGGGUCGGAAAACUGGCGACCAAUUAAGCGCUUGAUUUGUGAGAUGGAGUUUUUGGGGUUCAUCAUGGUAGAAGCAGCUCCAGCAGUACCGAUGAAGCGCUGCUUGUCACCAAAGCAAACGAUAGCCGGAGUCUCGCGAUUUGACUCAUCAUUAAGCACGACGUCGAUACCUCUUUGCCUUGCAACAGCAACAAGGCAAUUCUCGUUUCCAAAAUCAAAACCAACUACACUCAUUGUUAGGCUUUGUGUUCUUCAGUACUGGGGCGUCCCACGUGUUCGAUAGCAACCUUAUAGAACAAAAAAAAGAAAAACACUAUCAGAUAGCGAUCGAAGCAGACUAGUCUUGAGCUCGAGAGAUUACAGGAGAUGACGAAUUGGCGGUAACUCAGGCCAGGUAGCCUUAAACCAUCGUAUUACUAAACCUAAAAUAAAACCACCAGUUUGGGUUUACAUCAACAAUACAUACAACGAAGAUUGGUGGAGUUUGAAACUAAAAUACAAAUCCGGAAGCAGCGAAAGCAGAAGAUUCAUAUUGAAACACAAGUACGAGGAACAAGUAAUCUGGCAACAAGAAAUAAAUAAAACCUAAAAGUGAGGAAAAAGAGAAGCAUCAGAUCUAGAAGAUCUGCAACUAGAGCAUACCUGGAUCGCGAGAGGGGUUCGCGUUCUGGAAGCUUCCACCGAAAUCUGGGUGAAGGUGAGAAAUCUGUAAUCGUGUCGCAGCCAAAAAGUGAAGAGGAAGGGAGAAGAGCUUCUUUUAUAAAGGAAGAGCAAGAGAGAAGAGGUUUUAAUUAAGGAGCAGACACCACCACAGGGUUUGGGUUCCUCUGGAAUGUUCUUCUCCUUUCCUUUUUUUUUUUUAUUUUAAAAACACUUUCAUUUCCUUUUUAUUUUUGUGAUAUUUUUGCCUAAAUUAUUUAUUUAUUGCCUUUUUUUUUCUUAGGUUUUUUUUUUUUAUCCCAGUGUUUUUGUAUAUUUUUAUUCGAGUCUACAUAUAAUUAUUUAAACCCAAUGUAUUUAAAAUUAAUAAAAUUAUUAUAGAGAAGUGGCUGGUGUUAUCAGAAUUUGUGGUACAUAAGAUAUGCACGAACUAAUUGCAUUGUGGUGUCUGGAACAUGCCAUUAUCUGCGGCGCCCAGAGAUGAUUCAUGGAUUUAUGUUAGAGAUUUUCAUUGUCCUCACUGGUGCAGGCAGCUUAAUCACAUAUCGUAGCAGUCGCACUCAUUCUGUGCUCAUAACGAGGAAAUGAAUUCAUCCUUGUUUAACCCCGUUUGGAUUGGAGAAACGAUACAACUUCAGCCUGGAUGACCUCAAAGAUGUUGCCAAAGGCUACGACUGCUUCAUCAAGGAAGAUGUUCUUUGUACAACAAUGGUAAGGAAGAGAAGUGAGGAAGACGAGUUUUGUCACACUGAUUUCACGUAAGAUAUAAGAGAAAAGAUGUUAAGCUUAGGGGGUUCAAAGUUGCCUUUUAAAGCUCCAAUAUAUAUAGAACCAAAUUGCAUUUCAUUUGCUGUUUAUAAAAACAGCCCAGUCCAACAUAGAACGAAUCCGUGUACACUCCAUAAUAGUUAUAUAGAGGAGCAGAAAAAAUGACUUUCAAAUUAAAAACAAAACCACAAGGAACAAUAAGAAAAAAGAUGCUUCCUAAAAAUUGUUUUCGAAAAGGAAGAAUUAACAAUAUAGAUUUUUUCCGGGAAUAAUAGCGAAACCAGAAAAAGAGGUUCCACUAGGUAAAUCAAAAAGAGUUAAGAACAAAAUCGAUACAACACCAUCUCUCUCUCGUCAUUCAUUUAGGUACUACCUUCCGCGGGAUUCUCAGUCUCCAUUGGUUCGGCAGAAGCUGGUUGCUCUGGCUCACUCUUGCCCUCAUCCGCCUGCUCACCUCCCUUGGCUUGUGGUGCCUCUGCUUUAGCCACCGGCUUUGGUUUGGUCAUUAUAGGCCUGCAAAACCUGUAAAACAUCCAUAGCUGGUUCACUCUCUAUUAUCAGAUUUAGCAUUUCUUUUAAAAGACAAAGACACAAGGAGCCUUGCUUACUUGUCCAAUGCCUCUGCCUUGCUUUUAACGUCAGCUGACAAGAGAGCCGGUGUGGCAUACUUGGGAAGUGUGUCCUGCUGCUGCUGCUUUCCCCGCAGCCAUGCUUCUGCUUCCACACACUCGUUCAAAACCUUAAUCAUUUCACAACAACAAAACAUCAAACAAUUUCCCCAAGCCUGAGAAAUUUAAGAUUUUUUUUGUGCUUCCAAGAUUGAGCCAAAUUAUUACCUUUUGCUUCUCUGCCAAUUCAAUGUGAUCAAACUUGGGAUCAGUAGACAUAGCUGCCUCUCUGUAGCUGUUAAUACAGUAACCAAGCUGAUCAAUGACCGACCCUCUUUCCAAUGACUCCUUGUAACGCACUUCAACAGGGUCACCCACCUGCAAAAUAUUAAUCCCACUCCUCUGUUAAAACAUUAUCCUGAAAUAUGAUUUCUUCCUGCACAAUAUAAAGUGUCAUCAUAUGCAUGCAUUACCUUCUUGAGCUCCUCGAGCUUCGCAACAUAAACACCUUUGGUCUCAUCUUCCCCAUCUUCAUACAACCAAUCCUCAACUUCCUGCAGAUUCGCCAGGAAUGCUUCCCUCUCCGAGUCAGUGAUAUAUUCCUGGUAUUUGUCACUCAGCUGAAAACAAGACACGUUAGUACCCAAUACUCACAACUUUACAUAUGCAUACUGCCAAUGAAAAGACGAAAUAAAGAUUCUCACUUUGUUCCGCAUAUCAUAAACAUAAGACUCAACAGCAUUCUUCCGGUCCUUGGUCUCUUCCAUAACUCUGUCUUGCAAAGCCAUCUCAAAUUCCUUCUCCACUGCCUUUUCGACCUCCACAGUUUUCAAGGCACCAUAGACCAAUUCAGACAGUGGUACAUUUGUUUUCUUCACCUUCUUCUUUGGAGCCUCAGCCUGCACAAUCCAUUAAUAAGUAUCCAUAAUUAUUUGAUGUUCACAAGCGAAUAGCAAGCAGUAUCAGUUAAGAGAGAAACUAGCCUUUGAAUCAGUUUCCAUUUGCACCGGCUUCUCAGCAGACUCUGGAACACCAUUGUCAGUACCAGUUGCAUCACUGGUGUCUUUGGCGUCCUGCAUGUUUACAUCACAGUCUCCAGAAGCAGGAGCUGCCUCAGCAGAAGCUUUGUCAGAGUCCAUCUUAGUAGUUUCCUCUGAAUGUUCUUUUGUGACCGGAACUUCAACUUCUUCCUCUUCCAAAAGCUGCAAUUAGGGGGGAGAAAACAAUUAACAUAAAUUAAAGGAUUCCCAAGUUCAUAAGGGGAAGGCACGACUCUAGAUGAUCAAUUUGUAAUCAGUUACUAGAGAGAAUGAGCCUUUAAAUAGUUCAUGUAGCGAAACUUACAGUUGCAGAUUCAACUGAGACGAUUCCAUGAAGGUUCAAUCUCACUUUCACUUUAAGCUUUGCCCUCUCGCCUUUUGAUGACUGGAACGGACCAAUCUACAAAAAGGAGAUCAACCAUUAGAAACAAGAGCACUACAGUUAUACAUAGUCAUGACAUUGGGAGAAAGAUCAAACCGUGUAUGUGCUGAUUUUUGGAGGUGCUUGCAAAUCGUUCACAUCACUGUACUGCACAUCAACAGAGAAUGUUCCAGAACGAUAAAACGUUAGAGCCUUGACACUAGGAAUGGGAUUUCCUUUGGGAAAAACAAUGGUGCUCUGCUGAUUCUCAGCUCCUCCAUUUUGAGCUUCAGAAGCUGCUCCUUUCCAAGCGAGAGAAAUUGAGAAAGGGAAGCUCUCAUGAACCUAAGAGAACAAAAAAUAAAUCACAAUAUGACUAGUCAGAUAAUCUAGAGUAUAAAAGUUCUCGAGUUGCUUACAAGUACAUGAAAAUAACGACAUUUACUUAAGCGUAGAUAUGCACCAAUUACCUGGAAUUCGCGAACUUUAAAGGUCGGACUGAGAAUGGCACACUGCAAGGCACAUCCCCUUGACACACACUCACUUGCAUUCAUUGUCCGCCUGGGCUCCUUACCAAAAAACUCAGUUAGAAUCUUGAUCAUAGCAGGGACACGAGAGCCAGAGCCAAUAACCUCAACCAUAUGUACAUCUUCAACAGUGAGGCCUGCAUCAG